UUGGAUCUAGACUUCUUCUAAAUCUCAAAGAAAAAAUCUUGUUGCACGAAUACUUUGCACUGAUCUGACGGGAUCUGAAUAGGAUGUCAAGAAGAGGAAGAAGAAUCCUUCUUCUUCUCUUCUUCCCUCUUUAAUCUCUCUCUCUCUUAGAUCUGAUCUAUGGAGAAGAGGUGGGGUGUUGGGAUGAAGAAGGAGGGGCG
rnacentral:lncRNA from 1 species